UACGUAGGGUGCGAGCGUUGUCCGGAAUUACUGGGCGUAAAGAGCUCGUAGGUGGUUUGUCGCGUUGUUCGUGAAAACUCACAGCUCAACUGUGGGCGUGCGGGCGAUACGGGCAGACUAGAGUACUGCAGGGGAGACUGGAAUUCCUGGUGUAGCGGUGGAAUGCGCAGAUAUCAGGAGGAACACCGGUGGCGAAGGCGGGGUCUCUGGGCCGUUACUGACGCUGAGGAGCGAAAGCAUGGGGGAGCGAACAGG
rnacentral:rRNA from 1 species